rnacentral:rRNA from 1 species
GACGAACCGUGCGAACGUUGUUCGGAAUCACUGGGCUUAAAGGGCGCGUAGGCGGGCUGACAAGUCUGGGGUGAAAUGCCGCGGCUCAACCGUGGAACUGCCUUAGAUACUGUCGGCCUCGAGGAAGGUAGGGGCAUGCGGAACUGUAGGUGGAGCGGUGAAAUGCGUUGAUAUCAUCAGGAACACCAGAGGCGAAGGCGGCUCACUGGGUCUUUUCUGACGCUGAGGAACGAAAGCUAGGGGAGCAAACGGG